GACGAACGCUGGCGGCGUGCCUAAUACAUGCAAGUAGAACGCUGAAGGAGGAGCUUGCUUCUCUGGAUGAGUUGCGAACGGGUGAGUAACGCGUAGGUAACCUGCCUGGUAGCGGGGGAUAACUAUUGGAAACGAUAGCUAAUACCGCAUAAUAGUAGAUGUUGCAUGACAUUUACUUAAAAGGUGCAAUUGCAUCACUACCAGAUGGACCUGCGUUGUAUUAGCUAGUUGGUGGGGUAACGGCUCACCAAGGCGACGAUACAUAGCCGACCUGAGAGGGGGAUCGGCCACACUGGGACUGAGACACGGCCCAGACUCCUACGGGAGGCAGCAGGAGGGAAACUUCGGCAAUGGGCGAAAGUCUGACCGAGCAAAGCCGCGUGAAUGAAGAAGGUUUUCGGAUCGUAAAGCUCUGUUGUAAGAGAAGAACGAGUGUGAGAGUGGAAAGUUCACACUGUGACGGUAACUUACCAGAAAGGGACGGCUAACUACGUG
rnacentral:rRNA from 1 species